rnacentral:rRNA from 1 species
CUUUACUGUAGCCUGGAAUUGGGUUCGGGCUUUAACUGCGCAGGAUAGGUGGGAGGCUAUGAGGCGAUUCUUGUGGGAAUCGUGGAGCCAACGGUGAGAUACCACUCUGUUAAGGCUAGAAUUCUAACUUGUUGCCGUUAUCCGGCACGAGAACAGUUUCAGGUGGGCAGUUUGACUGGGGCGGUCGCCUCCUAAAUGGUAACGGAGGCGCGCAAAGGUUCUCUCAGGCUGGUUGGAAAUCAGCCGUAGAGUGUAAAAGCACAAGAGAGCUUGACUGUGAGACGAACAUGUCGAGCAGGGACGAAAGUCGGCUUUAGUGAUCCGACGGCAGAGCGUGGAAUCGCCGUCGCUAAACGGAUAAAAGUUA